CCACCACUUGGGGAUAACCUUGCGAAAGUAAGACUAAUACCCAAUGGUGAUGGAUGGGGAUGCGUCUGAUUAGCUUGUUGGCGGGGUAACGGCCCACCAAGGCGACGAUCAGUAGGGGUUCUGAGAGGAAGGUCCCCCACAUUGGAACUGAGACACGGUCCAAACUCCUACGGGAGGCAGCAGUGAGGAAUAUUGGUCAAUGGACGAGAGUCUGAACCAGCCAAGUAGCGUGCAGGAUGACGGCCUAUGGGUUGUAAACUGCUUUUAUAAGGGAAUAUGUACCUUAUGAAUAAGGACCGGCUAAUUCCGUGCCAGCAGCCGCGGUAAUACGGAAGGUCCGGGCGUUAUCCGGAUUUAUUGGGUUUGAAGGGAGCGUAGGCCGGAGAUUAAGCGUGUUGUGAAAUGUAGACGCUCAACGUCUGCACUGCAGCGCGAACUGGUUUCCUUGAGUACGCACAAAGUGGGCGGAAUUCGUGGUGUAGCGGUGAAAUGCUUAGAUAUCACGAAGAACUCCGAUUGCGAAGGCAGCUUACUGGAGCGCAACUGACGCUGAAGCUCGAAAGUGCGGGUAUCGAACAGGAUUAGAUACCCUGGUAGU
rnacentral:rRNA from 1 species